AGGUGUGAUGGCUGUAGCUGUA
rnacentral:siRNA from 1 species